rnacentral:rRNA from 1 species
UACGAAGGGUGCAAGCGUUACUCGGAAUUACUGGGCGUAAAGCGUGCGCAGGCGGUUAUGCAAGACAGAUGUGAAAUCCCCGGGCUCAACCUGGGAACUGCAUUUGUGACUGCAUGGCUGGAGUGCGGCAGAGGGGGAUGGAAUUCCGCGUGUAGCAGUGAAAUGCGUAGAGAUGUGGAGGAACACCGAUGGCGAAGGCAGCCCCCUGGGUCAAGAUUGACGCUCAUGCACGAAAGCGUGGGGAGCAAACAGG